rnacentral:lncRNA from 1 species
AAAAAAACUACUUCCUUAAUCUCCUCUCUCGGCUCUCACGGACAGAGGACAAGAAGAAAAAAAAAGACUCCACCCUUUUGGCUCAAUUUGCUCUCUCGGCUCUCUCCCUCAUCAGACAAGAGGAAAAAAAAAAAAAAAAAAAAAAAAGGGGGCUCCCUCUACACAUUUUCUUCCACAAAAUCCAAACACAUUUGCACACAACAAGGCAGCAAUCGGUUGGAUUGGAGCUUGGCAAUUUCAUCAAAAAUCUUGGCAAAGGGACCAAACUCUUCAUUGAGGACAAUUUGAC